rnacentral:rRNA from 1 species
GAUGAACGCUGGCGGCGUGCCUAAUACAUGCAAGUCGAGCGAACGGACGAGAAGCUUGCUUCUCUGAUGUUAGCGGCGGACGGGUGAGUAACACGUGGAUAACCUACCUAUAAGACUGGGAUAACUUCGGGAAACCGGAGCUAAUACCGGAUAAUCUUUUGAACCGCAUGGUUCAAAAGUGAAAGACGGUCUUGCUGUCACUUAUAGAUGGAUCCGCGCUGCAUUAGCUAGUUGGUAAGGUAACGGCUUACCAAGGCAACGAUGCAUAGCCGACCUGAGAGGGUGAUCGGCCACACUGGAACUGAGACACGGUCCAGACUCCUACGGGAGGCAGCAGUAGGGAAUCUUCCGCAAUGGGCGAAAGCCUGACGGAGCAACGCCGCGUGAGUGAUGAAGGUCUUCGGAUCGUAAAACUCUGUUAUUAGGGAAGAACAUAUGUGUAAGUAACUGUGCACAUCUUGACGGUACCUAAUCAGAAAGCCACGGCUAACUACGUG